rnacentral:tRNA from 1 species
GCCGAGGUAGCUCAGUUGGUAGAGCAAUGGUCUGAAGAACCAUGUGUCGCCAGUUCGAUUCUGGCCCUCGGCACCG